rnacentral:pre_miRNA from 1 species
AUAACAUUCGAACCGUUGGUCUACCAAGCAAUAUCACCCGUUUCCUGGAAGAUCUUCCCCUUGUUGC